rnacentral:rRNA from 1 species
CGCGAAAGCACUUCGGUGUGAGUAGAGCGGCGGACGGGUGAGUAACGCGUAGGAAUCUACCUAGUAGUGGGGGACAACUCGGGGAAACUCGAGCUAAUACCGCAUAAGCCCUACGGGGGAAAGCGGGGGACCUUCGGGCCUCGUGCUAUUAGAUGAGCCUGCGUUGGAUUAGCUAGUUGGUGGGGUAAAGGCCUACCAAGGCGACGAUCCAUAGCUGGUCUGAGAGGAUGAUCAGCCACACCGGGACUGAGACACGGCCCGGACUCCUACGGGAGGCAGCAGUGGGGAAUAUUGCGCAAUGGGCGAAAGCCUGACGCAGCCAUGCCGCGUGUGUGAAGAAGGCCUUCGGGUUGUAAAGCACUUUCAAUUGGGAGGAAAGGUUCACGGUUAAUAACCGUGAGCUGUGACGUUACCUUUAGAAGAAGCACCGGCUAACUCCGUGCCAGCAGCCGCGGUAAUACGGAGGGUGCAAGCGUUAAUCGGAAUUACUGGGCGUAAAGCGCGCGUAGGUGGUCUGUUAAGUCGGAUGUGAAAGCCCCGGGCUCAACCUGGGAACUGCAUUCGAUACUGGCAGACUAGAGUGCGAGAGAGGGAGGUAGAAUUCCAUGUGUAGCGGUGAAAUGCGUAGAUAUGUGGAGGAAUACCAGUGGCGAAGGCGGCCUCCUGGCUCGACACUGACACUGA